ensembl:snoRNA small nucleolar RNA SNORA11
GCGGUGUGCUCAGAGCAGCCAUGGCAGAGACUGUAGCCUGGCUGUUUAUACCACACCGUAGAGAAAAGCAUAUAUUCUGGCAGCCCAAACACAU